rnacentral:lncRNA from 1 species
AAAAAGAUUUAAAAAAAAAAUGAAAAUACAAAAUAUAUAAAAUAAAAUUUGAGAAAAAGAAGAAAAAAUAAAAAAUGAAGAGGCAAAAAUAUGAAAUAAAAGAAAAAGAAAAAAAUUUAUAGAAAAUUUUAAAACAAAGAAAAAAGUGAACAAAAAAGAAUGAUGGCAUAUAAAAAAAAGUAAAAAAAAGAAGAAAAAUUUGGAAGGAGAAAAAGUUAAUGAAAAAAAUAUAAAAAUGCAAUAGAAAAUAACCAAGAAUGAUAAAAGAAAAAAAGAUAAAAAAAUUAAAAAUUCCAAAACUUUAUAAAAAUUUAUGAAAUUAUGAAUAAAGAAAGAAAAUAAAAUAAGAAAAAAAAUUAAAGCAAAAGAAAAAAGAUAGAUAAAGCACGAAAAAAAAAAAAAAAACAAAAAAUUAAAAAGUAAGAAAAUGAAAAGGACAAAAUUGAAUAAAAAUUUCAAAAAUGAAAUGGAAUGACAAAAUGAAAAAAAAUUAGUUUAAAAAUACAAAAAAUUAAAAAACAUAUAAGACCAAACAAUCUAAAAAGUCUGACAAAAAAUUAAAAAAGAGAAAAGUUAAUGCAAAAUAAAAAAAAAAAAGUAUGAGAAUUUAAAAACGCAAAUAAGAAAUGAAAGGAAAUUUGUGGAAAAAAGAGAAAAGACAAAAGAUUUGGAAUAAAAAAGAGAAAAAUAAAAAUUUUUAAAACAGCGAAAAAAUUAAA